UACGAAGGGGGCUAGCGUUGCUCGGAAUCACUGGGCGUAAAGCGCACGUAGGCGGCUUUCUAAGUCAGAGGUGAAAUCCCGGAGCUCAACUCCGGAACUGCCUUUGAUACUGGAAAGCUUGAGUUCGGGAGAGGUGAGUGGAACUGCGAGUGUAGAGGUGAAAUUCGUAGAUAUUCGCAAGAACACCAGUGGCGAAGGCGGCUCACUGGCCCAUUACUGACGCUGAGGCACGAAAGCGUGGGGAGCAAACAGG
rnacentral:rRNA from 1 species